rnacentral:tRNA from 4 species
GAAAUUUACUGGUUAAGAAAAAGCUUCUAACUUAUUUCUUGAGCGGUUAAAUUCCGUUCAAAUUUCA